UGAGCCACUAUGCCCGGCCUCAUAUAUUUUCAAUCUAAUUAUGUAUUCUUAUUUUUGGGUCUCCACCCAUUAUGGCAAUAACUGCGACUGCCCCUCUCUCCCAUUCCCUCUCUUCCCCUUUCUUAUUUCUUGCUAUUUUACUCUGCCUCCAGGAUAAAAUAUUAUAGUGCAUUAAAAAUAUUUCUGAGAAUUAAUGAUAUAGGGGAAUGUUAGCUUCUCAGGGAAAAGUUUAAAUAAAGUCAAAAUAGUGUUUUUCCUUAGGGCUAUCUCAUCUUUGUACUAGUAAUUCUAUAGGCAGUCAGUAAUUGACCUGCCCUUGCAAUUACCAGAAUCUGGUGUCAAUUAGUAAUCAAUUUGGGGGAUCAGUACGUGUCUAACUGCUGGGACUCAGGCCGGCACUGAUGCUACUUUGCAAAGUCACAACUGGAUUUAAAAGUGUUUUAGGGACAAUUCUUUAAUCCACCACCAGAUGGGAAAGGUACUCCAUUGAAGUGGAGUGUAGCAUUGGGUUUGUUCAAACAGGUUUGGUCACUUUGCUGCUUCCUAGACUGGAUGGUUUGCAUUUUUCUGGGCGCAGGAAAGAGAGCCAUUCACUUGGGCCUGUAUUUUAACAUUUUACAUAAGAAUUAAAGUACAUGUUGGUACAGAUUCUGGUACUCUAUGUGCUCUUAAAAUAUCUAAAGGGUUACAUAUUUUCAACCUUUAAGAGGAUGCUAUUGAUAUGUAAGUUUGAUAUUUUUUCCCCCUCAAAGUAAACUUUGGUUUCCCAUUUCAUAACUUCCAAUCCCCUCUCUUCCAUGUCGUCCCCCACUUUCUUUGUGGGAUCAUUAACAAUAGGUUAAUGAUUAAGAACACAUGCGACAGAGAUCAACAGCUCUGUGUUCAAGUCCAAACUCUUCCCUUCGGCAAGGUACGUGACUUCCCUGUGCCUCAGGUUCUUGUAGAGUGGAAAUGCCCACUUCGCAGAAUGGCUGUGGGUGUGGAUGAGACGAUGUAGUGGACGCUCCUGCCUGACACCCAUGGGUGCUCAUGAAGAUUGUGUUUGCUGUUGGCUGCAAUAUGUCGUGACUUAUCAUGUGUGAUCCUUGAGUGAAGAGGCAGCUGCGAACCUGAACUGACUCCUAUGAACUAGUCUUCUCCAGCAAUAGACCCUCCUUCAACUUAUGGUAGCCUGUACACCAACGGUGACAGACUGGAAAGCAGGAUCCACUGGGACAUCUAUGGGAAAAGGAGGGGGAAUGAGAUCAAGGAUUGAGGACGCUAAUGGAGAUGGGUUUUUACCUUGUUGCCCAGGCUGGUCUUGAACUCCUAGACUCAAGCGAUCCACUCAUCUUGGCCUCCCAAAGUGCUGGGAUUACAGUAGAAAAGCAGUACUUCUGGUACUGGCUGGGUGCAGUGGCUCACACCUAUAAUCUCAGCACUUUGGGAGGCUAAGACAGGAGAAUCGCUUGAGUCCAGGAGUUUGAGACCAGCCUGGGCAACCUAGGGAGACCCCCUCUCUACCAAAAAAAAAAAAAAAAAAAAAAAA